CGGUGCCCGUCCGAAAUAGCUCCGCUUUCCCUGGGAUUCCCGGGUGGCGUUCUCGCCUUUCUCAGGGGAUGCAGCGGCUCUGCAGGACCUUUCUGUAGGGCCUCUCGCAAGGCGGGCCAAAAAGUUCUCGCCGCGCCCCGAGAGAAGGGCCCUCGGGCUGUGCUGUGACAGCUCCGAAAGAUAGUUGCAAAAACUACAGGAAGCAAGAGAGAUCACGGGGAGAGCUCAUUGAAAUCAUUAGAAAUGUCAGAAAACGUUUAAGGGGGGGCUGUAAAGAUGGUGAAAGAUCUAGAGGGGGAUGUCACAUGAAGAACAGCUGAGGUCACUUGGCUUGUGGAGAAGAGACUGGGGGGAGACCUCACAGCACUCGGCAGCGUCCAUGAGAGUGGACGGGGGGCUUUGGUUUCUCUCUGGAAUGAAAGGCCUGUGGGAACAGCGUGAAGAUGUUGUGGAGGUUUUGGUUGGAUGUUAGGGACAGAUUCUUCACUCUGAGGGUUGUUGAGAACUGGCACAGGCUCCCCAGGGAAGUGGAUAAGCCUGACAUGAGUGUUUGGCCGACACUCUCAAGUCCAAGGUGUGAUUCUUAGUUUGGUCCUUUGCAGGGCCAGGAGUUUGACCUUGGUAAUCCUUGUGUAACCCCUUCAGCUCAGGAUAUUCUAUGAUUCUAUGAAUUUGGGAAAGGAAGAAGUACUGCGGAAGGAAAUAGCUGUGAAUAAGUGGGAAGUCAGGGAAGCGUGGGGCCCCAGUGGAAACUUGAAGCCCAAGGCGAUGAAGAGUGUUAGGUCAUUCUGAGCCCUGGUCUCAAGUGAUGUUUCUGAGGCAUUGUCUCAGGUUUGAUUUGGUAAGGAGGAAUUGGAUUUGUGGGAUUUGGAGAGUCGGUGGAGAAAGUAAGCUCAGCUGGUGUUUGGGAUAAUUAAGAGUUACACAGAGUGUCAGGACUUGUAGCGACUUGACUAUUCUGUUUUUUUGGAGGAAGGGAAUGCAAAACACCUGAGGUCAGUAUCAGAAAAAGGAUGACGUUCACACUUCAGUAACAGUAAGUUCAUAUUCACCAAACGAUCGGACAAAAAGUGUAGUAUUUAAGGAUUUCAGGGUAAUGGAUAUGAGAACCCGAAGAUGUAGAGUGGAUGUUACAAUAAGACUAAUUUGGAUAACUUGUAGACAUUUACAAGGAUAAUUUAAUCUGGAGUGUUGCAAGUACGGAGUGUUUUGUGAAAUGCAGCUGAGAGGCAUAAAGUUUUGAGCUUUAGCCAAAAUUUGAGUAGUGGUGGAACAGGACUUCUAAAAGUCCUGAGAAUUGAAGGACAUAAAAGUGUAGCUGAUAAGAGGCCAGGAGUGAGUGUUACUCUGUUGUGGGGGGCAGGAUUAGUUAAUACACAAUGGUUUGUAGAUGGCAACAGGUGAGGUGAAGAUAAUUAGCAAUAUAAGGGGGAGAGUUUCUGUUAGGCUGGGACUCAGAAAUAAGUCUCAUGUCAGUGAGUGAUUCAAACAGUACUACAAAUUGCCACCCUAUUAGCAAUGUAGCUAAUGGCUCCUUGAAUGAGAGAAAUAGAAGGGAGAAAAAACACAUAAAUUAAACUGUUACAUUUAAAUAUGCCUUGCAUUAGUAAAUAAAUAAUUUUUGCUGGCUUUGAGUAUUGUAAGUUUGUUUCUAUUAAGAAUUUUUAGUUAGACGUAAUAAGUGUGUAUAAUUCCCUGCCUAUUGUAUGUGUGAGGGUUUCCUGGUUUUGAUUUCUUCUCUUUCCAUCACAUCCUAGAUAUUCUUGUGUCUGAGCAACAUGUAGUCAUUACCUGUCGGACAAGAUCAGUAUUCAGUCAGGACAGAUGUUAUGGCCAUGUUUUGCUCAUUCAGUUUUAAGAGAAUUUUUCAGAUAUCUUUUUUUCCUCUGUAAAUUAUCAUGCUCGGACUGAUACUGUUUUUUCCACUUGCAGUGAACAUGGACAUACAAUUAGGAAGGCCGUUCUGCCAUCUUCUUUCAGAGUUGGCAAGAAGCUUCAGCAUUCAGGUCUAGCGGAAAAUUCUACUCAAGCAUUAUAGUUCUCCAAAUCCAACUCCUGUCCAUCCAUUGUUCAAAAAGAAGCAAGAUGCUGGAAUGUACCUUCUGCAGCUCUCAUCUGUAUCCCAGUAGUCAUCAUGCCAUUUCCAAUGAUUUGUGAUGUAUUCCCUAGCAAUGGAUUUGGGACCUUUGUUCUAUGCAAAGUCAAAAAUCUCCUGUAUGCCUUCAGAGAUCUACAUGCACAGGCUCUUUAAAAGAAGGAGUACAUAGAAUUUCUCAGGGCAUGUCAGCUUUUAUGAAAUCGAGCAUUUCUUCAGUAACAAGAGAAGCAAAUGGAAAAAGACAUGGCAGGAGAUUAUACUUGUCAAGUGGAAGAAAUAGCACAACUGCCUGCCACAAAGCCACCUCAGCCCCACGAUUGCCUGUACAGCUCAAAGAGAUAACUCAAACCAACAGUGCUCAAAAUGGUGAUGUACAGGAAAGACUCAAUGAAUCUUCAGAGAAGGAGAAGAUCCAAAGAUUUUUUUUCCCUUGGUUUUGGGGAUUUUUUCGUGGGUUUGUUUUCUUUGUUUGUUAGCUGUUGGUUUUAUUUUUGUCUUGGCUCACUUUUCCCCCAUGUUCUCUUCUGACAACUUUCUCACUGAUUUCCCUUUUCCAAAGCAGCUCUGGGCUGGGGUGCUGGGACCACAUGGACUUGCUUUGUCAGUAGUGGCUAAAGUAUGGGAAAAAGUUAUUUUAGGGGGAGCAGACACAAUGAAAAUGGGAAGUGAGAUGGAGAUUGGGUUGUAAAGUUUGGGAUGUGCUAGAGAUGGCACUACAUAUGGAAUGGUCCCAUAUAUGACCAUUAGAAAUGCCCAAAUUAUUAAUGAAAAAAAUCUCCUUUUUAAAAUGCUUGAGAGCUGAUGAGAAGAAAAACAUUUGAAGGAAAUGAGUAGAUGUGCAAGGCUAGUUUUGCUCAAGAGAGCAGGCAACUAAGACAAGGUGUUCUGCUCAGCCCCACGUCUCACUACAGGUGCAUAUUACAGAAAUGCAGCAACAUCAGAAGCUGAUCUUCAGAAGAAGAAUGAGAUCUGUGCUGAUUUUUCAUUGGUGUAACCAACAGUUGAAUAUAGCCCAGAUUUAUACAGUUCUGUCCAAAUCUUCAACAGUUGCUUAUUGGAAUGAUACUUAUUUCUUUUCCUCAAAGCUAUUCACUUCUUGAACCAUUUCAGAGUAGAAAGGAACAAGCCUAAAUCACACUGAAAGACUAGCAACAACUGAAAUGAAGGUAAAACAUAAUUUUUAUAAACCUUUAUUUAUUUUUUAGGCAAAAAUAAGACUAGAGGUGUUGCAACUAUUCUUACAGUACAGUACUUCAGUAGCAAUACAACCUGAGACUUUUUGAUGUCACCCAAAAAAAACAAUUUAAAAAAUUUCAAAAUAUCAUCAUUACCAGAAUCCUGUAAUCCAAAGCUCACAAUGCCCGUGAGAGAUACUCAGAAAACAUUUGGAUUUAUAUGUUAAAAAAAUUUAAAGGCACACAUUACAAUUUUUUGGUUGUUUUUUAAAUCAAUGAAAACCAAUUUGUUUCAAAGCAAUUCACUGCAAAAGCCUGAACACCAGUAUGGUGUUGGGCCUAUUUUAUGCUUCCCUUUUUUUCAGACAGCUGGUGAUGCCCUUAUUUCUAUGAAUAAUUUUUUAUUCAUGCUCACAUCAGGGAUGAUUUCUGAAGUUAGCAGUGGUACUUGUGAAGAAAAUCACUUUUGAGCAUCCAACUUUUAAGGAUAAAUUUUUCAAAAGGCACAUAAGUGACUUAGGAUCCUACACUAAUUUUCAGAAGUGAUUUAAGCCCCCUAGCCUAGUUUCCUGACAGCCAGAAAGAUUUAGGAUUUGAAGGGAUUUAUUUAGAUGGUUUUCUGCAUUGUUUGGCAGAGAUGCACAGCACAACUCCUCGACCGCUCACAGCUUGGAAUUUCAGCACCAACUUGAGUGUCUGUUUGCAGCUUGGGAUCCCUACAUGGGAAUUGCUAAGCUUGUAAGAAAGGGAUUUUCAGCUUUUUAAGGCAACAGCUGAGCGAGGAAGCUGCCUGAAUUAGCCAAUAGUGCAAGGCUGAAGAAUGGGCUUAUGUGUCUGAGCAACUGAUGUGAUGCCAGUUUAGAGGUGGCUCCCCUCUCCCAGGAUCCUUGGCUGGGAGCUCUGCUGGACGUGGGCAUCGCAGCAAGUCAACUACUUAAGCAGCCUGUGCCCUAGUUGUCAAAACCUCUGCUUGUCUUGAAGGCUUCUCUGCUCACUUAUUCUAUUAUUCUCAUUAUCCCUCAGCAGUCUGGAGUUGGGCUUUUCUUCCAUCUAGAAGUGUCCCUGUAUUUAUUUUUCUGUUAUGGUGCUGGGAGACAUCCAGCUUCAGGCAUGCUGAAGGUCACUGCUGGAUGGGUAAGCCAGUAAUAGAAGGAUAUUGUUUAGAUGGAAGGAUAUAUGUAUUUAGAUAUCCAGGCUAAUACCCUGGUGUCAGGGGCUUGCAGGAUCUUUGCUUGAGGCAGGGCUCAGAGCAGCUCAUUACUAUGGUACUGAGGUUGAGAUUGGGCUGAUUUGAAUGUGCUGGAUAGCACCAAGUGAGAAGUUAUCAUUACUGAUUUGCACUGACGGAUUCACCGUGAUCUGGUUUUAAAAUACUCAGUGAAACCUCUUCAGAUGCACAGUUUGAUUGUAUGACCUGUCUCGAAGUUGUUUUUGGAAACUGAUUUUAUUUUCAUAACCUAUUUAUGCUAGGAUCCCUCAAGGUGAUUGGUAUCACAGUAUCACACAGCAUAAGUGACUAAAUAUUUAGAUAUCUAAGUAUUUGUGUGAAUCUGAAUCUUACAUGUUUUAAAAAUCAUGGGUGCCCAUCAACAUCCUCUAAUACCUAAAUGUCCUUACAAACUUAACCCAUACCUUCUCUGAAACUCUGGGGGUUUUUUAAUUGGAAGUUGUUCUGAGCAUCUGAAUUGCAGUUCAUAGAUUUGAACAUUAAAUUAUUAGAAACAUAUUUUAAAAAAUCUAAAAAUAGCUUUUUCUGAGAUAACUGUUAAGCUAUUAACUAUUGAGGCAGCUGUGCUUUCUAUUUUAACCUUCUUUAUAAUGGGACAUGACUUUAUUAUUUCACAGUUUGUUUUGAAGUUCGUGCCACCUAUUGGUUUAUCAGAGCAAUGAUCUGGGUGGCUGGAUGUCUCCCUGUGAAACCACAAAGGAAAAUAGAUGUGAUGGCACGGAACCCCUAAGCACUAAGAAAUCUAACAAGUGAGCAGAAGUAAUUUAGCCCCUUUUCAGUUGCCAGAAAAUUUUGUAGUGCUAUAUUUCCACCCCAUAUGGACAAGGCAAUUGCUAAACCUUAGUUUCUCUCCUUUUGAAUUAAAAAAAAAAAAAAUCCUCUUCCAAGAUCAAAUCACUGAAGCCCUGGAAUCUUAUUCAAAGGAUUUGCAGACUACAGUAGAAAAAAUGUACAUAUGUUCAUUGAUGCAAAAUAGUUUUUAAAUAUACAGAUAUGCAUACACUACAUUUACUUGUUUUGAGCCAAAUUGUGCAUAAAUAACUUCUCAUAGCUGCAAACAGAUCAAUCACUUUCCCUGUAUUUGCAAAUGCCUUCUUCUGUACCACUAAUACACUGCGCUGGGAGAAUACUUUGGAAUCCUCUUGUAGCUUAUGUUAAUGUUAUUCUGGUACCACAUUACUUUCUAGGUCCUUUCUACAACACUAAAUACUGGUAAUAAUAAGAGUAUCUGGGUAGUGAAAGUAGAGCACAGACAGAAGUUAAGAGUUACAUGAACAGUGCACAACAAAACUCUAAGGAGUAAGUAUCACCUAUAUGAGAGCAGAAGUAAAAAAUGGGUGAAAGAAUGUAUUUCUAGACCUUCUGGUACGGAGAUAUUUGAAAUUUUACUAUGUAAGUGAUGAUUUUCAAGACAUAGCUGAAUAUGCUUUUAACCUUAACUUUUCUUAAUGCUUUGUUCAGGAGAUGUUUCACUUUUGGACAGUGACCUUUGUCACCUCCACUGCCUCAUUUCUGCCUGGUAUCCUUCAGGGCAAAAUAAAACAACCACCUGAGGAGAGGAGACUGGCAGCUCCUGAGAGCCAGUCAACCAGCCCUCUGCUUUCCCUGCUAGUACCAAAGCAGUGUAGGCAAGUAGCAUUGUACAGAAGAAGCAAUGAUCAACUUGUCACAGCUGCAACAUAGGCUGUAUAGAAUAAGGCAUCAUUGUCAACAAAGCGUGCCCUGACAGCUCAAUCAAGUUGUGUUAAGCUUAUUCAUGCAAAAGGGUCUGCAUGAAGAAGACAAAAUAUUUUAAGAAAGGAGCUUAAAAAAUAUAUCACUCUCAAGAAACUUCCAAUUCGUUAACGGUUAUUUAAAUAUUUGGGAUAGAAAACUGCCUAAUUCACAAGCCUUGCUGUCUUCUGUUCAUUAUUUUGUGUACCCAAAAGAAUUCACUAAAGUGCUCUCCACACGAUGACAGUGUAACAAGGGCCAAUUUGUGAAUAACUUGUCAACAGCUUGAAUGAAACUCUAGAAAUCCAUAACAGGUGCUCGAUAGCUAUAAUCGAGUGACAGAUGGAUUAGAUACAUGAAACCACAACAAACUGACUGAAUGGGAGAGGGAGAGAGAACGAGGGUGAGAGUGGGGGAGGUUCAUUAACUAUAGAAGAGAGCAAAAAUACAUGAAUUAUUAAAGAAGCAGCAUGAGCCAAUUUGUGUGGAUGCUUCCUGCUCAUCUUCAGCAGCCCUGGGAAGAGGAGCUGCAAUGCCAGCUACUACACACAGCAGCAUUGGUCUAAUAUCUUGACUCCAGGCAGGGGUGUACCAGAGCUUGGCACUGGCCUUGAUUGCAGAAAUCACUGUUGUAUUUCAGCACACACACAAGAGCUGAUUCAGCAGUGUACUUGAGCACAGGCCUUGCUCUAAGCAUGUGAAUAGCACCAUUAAGGUCAGCAGAACAACUGUGUUAACUCACACAAACACGUUUGAGCGUCUUGCUGAAUUUUUGUUCUCUGUUGUGGGAUGCAAAACACAAAGGGGUGAACCCCAGCUACCAUAAAUUGUUACAGUCCCCCUUGGGGACUGCUCACAAGAGUGUUGAGUACCACUCAGGGGCACAGGCAAUGAUGGACCAGCAUUUCUCUGCAGUCUUUUAGUGAGGGGGUUGCCAUCUGAGCCAAAACCUGUGCCCUGCAGGUCUGUUCCUGUGCCAACAAACCCAGAGGCCCUCUUCCUGUAGCCAGAGGCUGCCUGCACCCACAGCAUCAGCUUUCCCUGGUGGGGAACCCACAACACCAUGAGUGCUGGGUACCCUGUGUUUUAAGCACCCAGAGUUAUCCAUAGGGACCCACUGACCACACAGUUUUAUUCCACGUGUUUGUGUUAUUCCAUGUAUUUAGUCAGUGCCCAGCCUUUGUCUUCUACCUGGCCCUGACUGCAGGCAGGAGCAGGGGGGCUCCUGUUACUGCUCCUCAUCUCUCUUCCUCUCCAAUGGAUUCUCCCUUAAAUUAAAUUUUUUACUUUAAAUUAAAUCUUCCAUUUCCUUAUUUUCCUCCUGUGCACUCUGCUUAGUGCCACUAUCCCAGAUUUGCAGUUAUUCUAUCCAAACAAUGCUUUUCCACAGCUACCUAUUAAGGGAACAACCAAAACCUUGACAGCUGGUUUGCUUUUAUAGUGUGACGUAUCUUUUUUGUUCUGUCACAAAUCUUGCUCUGCCUAAUAUCUUCCCCGAGAGAGAAAAUUGUGACAUUUUGGAACCUAUGAUGACAAACAAAUACAGUUCCUGAAUAUUUCAGGUGCAAAAACAAGACUUGCUUUUGUAAACAAAAACAAUAGUAGAUACUUGGUUUCUAUUUCUCUUCUCCAUAAAGGUAUUGCAAACACACAGCCUAAAUUACUGCUUAGAAAAAGGAAUUUGCUGUGCAGUCAUUAUUGUACCAGAAACCCCUGUGAUAAUUAAAUGCAGCCAUUUCGCUGUAAGUGUUGAACCCAUUUAAUUUUCUUUCACUUUGGCAUAAAUCCUUAUGUUUUAUGAUAUAUUCACUCCUUCCACCAUCCAGGAUGCUGUAUUUACCUGAGGUGAGAGUGUUCUCUCUGGCUGUGUGGGUAUUGAUCCCCAAAAACACCACACUAGCACACUCAUACUCCCAUGUGAGCCUUGGACCAGUCAAUUCAAAGUGUCAGAAUUAACCCAAGGAAGGCACUGUUUCAUGCUUGAAUGCCUUCCAGCUCCAAGCAAUGAAAAAAAAUUUGAGUUGCUAGAUGUAGAAUGUAGGGAAAAGGCAGUUCUGCACACAAGAAUCAUGCAUUAAUGAAAUUCCAUUUUGUUUCGUUUAAGCUCUACUUCAUAGUCUUUCAGCAGCACAUAGCUGCUUGCCUUGAAAGAUUGCCUUGAGAAAAAGAUUUCACUGAUUUUUAUUUAUUUUUCUGGGAUGCAGUAAUGUUCAUCUGCAGAUACAACUGAAGGGCUGAAAGAGCAUAAGAUAAGAGAUGAAGAGAUCUUGAGCUGUGGUAAGGGUACUCAGCUGUAACCACUACCAUGGUGGUCAGUAAUGAUGAUAAAAUAGCUAACACCACUGCUUAGGACAGAGCAGGCAGGCACAUGUAGCAAGCAAUAAAAGCAUAUCAGAGAAAAUUGUAGGUCCAUACACAAUCAAUUGAAUUUCAGUCUCUGGAAGAGUUUCUGUGCUUGGGUAGUUCUUAGCCACUGCUUCUACAAACAAAACUAAGAUUGGAGAAAGUUUCCUGUUUAGUAAGUGAAUUUCCUCAUUCCCCAUUAAAUUUAACUAAAUGUUCCUGUCUUUUGGCUGAGAAACCUAUUUUAUGUAUAUUAGCCUUGGAUCUAGCAGUGUUUCUCUGUUCCAAAGUUAAAAAACCCAAUCUGAUUGCAUGCUCUUAUGUCUAUGCCUCCUUUGUAAUGCACACUAUAAUUAUCACCAUGCAGAGAAUUUUGCCUGUCUACUCCACAGCUGCUUGUGGGUGAAACAGCAACUCUGUGUGAGCAAGUACACAGAUGUUCAGCUAUUGAAUCACUUCUUUGCAAUCCAGACCUGACAAUAAUUAGGAUGUCAGUGAUCUCCAAGCACCUGAUCCAGUGUUGGCUUUCUUAUUUUGAGAAAUCAAAUUAAACUUUGUCCUGAUUUUAGGGUACUGAAGCAAAAAGUGAUGCUUGUGUAGAUUGGGAGAAACUGGCAAUUGCACCUUUGAUCUACGAGGAGAUGUUUAUUUUGAACCUCUCUACUUUGCGUAUUUUGAGGAAUACCUGUAAUAUAAAGAAGUCUGUCAACUUCUUUUAGUGGAAUGAACAAGUAUUAGACAAUGAUUUGGGUUUGGUUUGGGAAUUUUUUCACCUAUUAAGCCAGGUAAUUCAAACAAAAAUCUCUCUGAACUCCUCAAGACUGUGUGAAUAGGUGUACUACUGAUUUACACUUAGGAACUCAUUGAGAGCAUUCUAGAGACCACUGCAGGUCUUGCUCAAGUCUACUGCUAACACCUAGAUGAAAGCAAUGUUAUUAGCCCCCCACUUCACAGAUGGAAGGUGAGAAAGAAACAGCAGCAUCAUCUUCACAGUUGCAGAUUCAUACACUUGUGUAAGCAAAUGGCAGACAAAUGCCUGUGCGCAUCUUUCACUCCUCCAUGAAUAGAAGUGAGAAUUUGCACAUGAGCCUUUUGCUUGUGGUCAGCUGUUUGAAGUGUAAAUGGUGUUAAACCAUGCAGAUUUGCUUUUCAAACUCGUUCCAUUAAGACACUUUAUUAAGACUUGUAGGUUAUAAGUGUUAGAGCCAGGAACAGCUGCAAGGAGAGUACCUUUCCCCUUGCAUUGGGAGAGCAGCUGUUGAAAGAGGUGUUCCUCUGAUUGGAUACUAUAAACAGAAACUAGAAAUGAUCUGAAAUGCUUCACAUUACAACUUUUGCAAAAUCCAGUCCUCUAGGUGAUUGAUCUGAGAGUAGCCUUUAUGAAACUGAAGAACUUUAGAAAGCCAUUACUUUAUCUUAAAUAACUUUUUCCUUUAGCUGAUCUGACCUGAGGACAUCAAUUUCUUCACAGUUUGAUUUGGCUUAGCACUUUCAGCUUGAGCCAGCAGAGAAAAGGAGUAAAAAUGUCGCACAAAAAUUAAUAACUCACCAUCUUAUUUCUAUGUCAAAAUAAAGAAGGCAUAAGAGCACAGUUUUUACCCAAACACUAUUCCUAUAGAGAUUCUGUCUUCUAGACAGAAAGAAAUCCAAACAAACAAAAAAACCAAAACAUUAAACAAAAAAAAACAACCCCAAAGAAAACUCCCAACACAAGGAAGCAAUAUAAAACCUCCCAUUAAAACACUCAUUCUUUAUUAGCCUGUGACAAUGAUGUAGGGUGAAUCCCUGUGUAAGGACUGGGUCUAGGUUCUGAAUUUUCAAAAGUUGUUGUAAAAGACCUUGAAGCCAACCAUAAUCGGAAUGUCCAGACCUCCUUAUGUUUAAACCUAAAUUUAAGAGUUGCUUUUAAGCAAAAGUCCAUGUGUAUAUUGUAACUUAUAGGUAAAUUUGAGACCUGCAAUAGUAAUACUUGGUUGGAUCCUAGAUUUCAGUGUUAGAGAUAUUCCUGUUACUGAGGUACAUGCCAAGGGGUGUGUGAGAGGGUAUUAGAAGCUGUGUUGAACAGACUUCAUGCUGAUUUUUUAGCUCUUCUGCAUCUUUCUGGGAUAUCUUAACUUACUGACCGGCUUUGAUAUUACAUAUCACUCCGAAGUGGACAAGUGUAAAGGAUGAAAGACCUGAAUCAGAUUUCAGACAUGUGUAUUCAUACCAUAGGAGAGAGAGAGAGUAUUAAAAUUUUGGAAGCUGAACGAUUGUGCCCUCAGGCCAGUGCUGUACAUUCAGCAGCAGGCUGUCACACCCUAAUUGCUAGUACCCCUUUGUGAAUCAACAUCUCUGAGAAGCCAAUUCUACAUGAGGCUUCUUUAAUAUACGUCUUCUCAUUUGCCCCACGUAUAUUUCAGUUUGCCAUCUGAUAAUUGGAAUUGUGUGGGUAGCAGCCGGUACCAUCUGGCUUGUUAAUAAGUAGAGGAUAAAAAUGUCUAAUGCCUUGCUCUACAUAAAUACAAGAAUUGCCCUACAAAUAAACAGCUCCCAAAAACCUCAACUGAUGAGAACAAAAGAAAAUAGUGUGGUCUUAGCUCAUUAAAAAACACUGAGGAGAGAAUGAGGGAACAGUGGGAAAGCCUCACCACUUACCAUCUGAAGUUUUAGUGUAA